UACAGAGGUCCCAAGCGUUGUUCGGAUUCACUGGGCGUAAAGGGUGCGUAGGUGGCGGGGUCAGUUGGAUGUGAAAGCUCCGAGCUUAACUCGGAAAUGGCAUUCAAAACUACCUUGCUAGAGGGUUGGAAGGGGGACUGGAAUUCUCGGUGUAGCAGUGAAAUGCGUAGAUAUCGAGAGGAACACCAGUGGCGAAGGCGAGUCCCUGGACAACUCCUGACACUGAGGCACGAAAGCUAGGGGAGCAAACAGG
rnacentral:rRNA from 1 species